AGGAUUUCAAAUAUGCGUGCAUUAGAGAAUGAUUUUUUCAAUUCUCCCCCAAGAAAAACUGUUCGGUUUGGUGGAACUGUGACAGAAGUCUUGCUGAAGUACAAAAAGGGUGAAACAAAUGACUUUGAGUUGUUGAAGAACCAGCUGUUAGAUCCAGACAUAAAGAGAUUGCCUUGGUUGAAUAGAAGUCAAACAGUAGUGGAAGAGUAUUUGGCUUUUCUUGGUAAUCUUGUAUCAGCAUAGACUGUUUUCCUCAGACCGUGUCUCAGCAUGAUUGCUUCCCAUUUUGUGCCUCGAAUGUUACGUUCAUAACUUACUAAGGAUUAGUGUAUAUUUUCCAACCUUGAGGCAUGAAAUUCUGGAGCUUAUUAUUGAAAAACUACUCAAGCUGGAUGUGAAUGCAUCCCGGCAGGGUAUUGAAGAUGCUGAAGAAACAGCAAAUCAAACUUGUGGUGGGACAGAUUCCACGGAAGGAUUGUUUAAUAUGGUUAGC
rnacentral:lncRNA from 1 species